rnacentral:rRNA from 1 species
UACGAAGGGGGCUAGCGUUGUUCGGAAUUACUGGGCGUAAAGCGCGCGCAGGCGGUCUUCCAAGUCAGUGGUGAAAGCCCGGAGCUCAACUCCGGAACUGCCAUUGAAACUGUAAGACUUGAGGAUGAGAGAGGUGAGUGGAAUUCCCAGUGUAGAGGUGAAAUUCGUAGAUAUUGGGAAGAACACCGGUGGCGAAGGCGGCGACCUGGUCCUUGACUGACGCUGAGACGCGAAAGCGUGGGGAGCAAACAGG